rnacentral:rRNA from 1 species
GUAGGUGGCAAGCGUUGUCCGGAAUUAUUGGGCGUAAAGCGCGCGCAGGCGGUCCUUUAAGUCUGAUGUGAAAGCCCACGGGCUCAACCGUGGAGGGUCAUUGGAAACUGGGGGACUUGAGUACAGAAGAGGAAAGCGGAAUUCCACGUGUAGCGGUGAAAUGCGUAGAGAUGUGGAGGAACACCAGUGGCGAAGGCGGCUUUCUGGUCUGUAACUGACGCUGAGGCGCGAAAGCGUGGGGAGCAAACAGGAUUAGAUACCCUGGUAGUCCACGCCGUAAACGAUGAGUGCUAAGUGUUAGGGGGUUUCCGCCCCUUAGUGCUGCAGCUAACGCAUUAAGCACUCCGCCUGGGGAGUACGGCCGCAGGGCUG